CUAACCUGCCCUUCAGAGGGGGACGAACAGUUGGAAACGACUGCUAAUACCGCAUACGAUCUAAUCUCGGCAUCGAGGAAAGAUGAAAGGUGGCCUCUAUUUAUAAGCUAUCACUGAAGGAGGGGAUUGCGUCUGAUUAGCUAGUUGGAGGGGUAACGGCCCACCAAGGCGAUGAUCAGUAGCCGGCCUGAGAGGAUGAACGGCCACAUUGGGACUGAGACACGGCCCAGACUCCUACGGGAGGCAGCAUG
rnacentral:rRNA from 1 species